rnacentral:rRNA from 1 species
AACGAACGCUGGCGGCAUGCCUAACACAUGCAAGUCGAACGAGACCUUCGGGUCUAGUGGCGCACGGGUGCGUAACGCGUGGGAACCUGCCCUUAGGUUCGGAAUAACUCCCCGAAAGGGGUGCUAAUACCGGAUAAUGUCUUCGGGCCAAAGAUUUAUCGCCUUUGGAUGGGCCCGCGUUGGAUUAGCUAGUUGGUAGGGUAAAAGCCUACCAAGGCGACGAUCCAUAGCUGGUCUGAGAGGAUGAUCAGCCACACUGGGACUGAGACACGGCCCAUACUCCUACGGGAGGCAGCAGUGGGGAAUAUUGGACAAUGGGCGAAAGCCUGAUCCAGCAAUGCCGCGUGAGUGAUGAAGGCCUUAGGGUUGUAAAGCUCUUUUACCCGGGAUGUUAAUGACAGUACCGGGAGAAUAAGCUCCGGCUAACUCCGUG